CAUGCAAGUCGAGGGGCAGCGGGAUUGAAGCUUGCUUCAAUUGCCGGCGACCGGCGCACGGGUGCGUAACGCGUAUGCAACCUACCCAUAACAGGGGGAUAACACUGAGAAAUCGGUACUAAUAUCCCAUAACAUCAUGAGGGGCAUCCCUUAUGGUUGAAAACUCCGGUGGUUAUGGAUGGGCAUGCGUUGUAUUAGCUGGUUGGUGAGGUAACGGCUCACCAAGGCGACGAUACAUAGGGGGACUGAGAGGUUAACCCCCCACAUUGGUACUGAGACACGGACCAAACUCCUACGGGAGGCAGCAGUGAGGAAUAUUGGUCAAUGGACGCAAGUCUGAACCAGCCAUGCCGCGUGCAGGAUGACGGCUCUAUGAGUUGUAAACUGCUUUUGUACGAGGGUAAACCCGGAUACGUGUAUCCGGCUGAAAGUAUCGUACGAAUAAGGAUCGGCUAACUCCGUGCCAGCAGCCGCGGUAAUACGGAGGAUUCAAGCGUUAUCCGGAUUUAUUGGGUUUAAAGGGUGCGUAGGCGGUUUGAUAAGUUAGAGGUGAAAUACCGGUGCUUAACACCGGAACUGCCUCUAAUACUGUUGAGCUAGAGAGUAGUUGCGGUAGGCGGAAUGUAUGGUGUAGCGGUGAAAUGCUUAGAGAUCAUACAGAACACCGAUUGCGAAGGCAGCUUACCAAACUAUAUCUGACGUUGAGGCACGAAAGCGUGGGGAGCAAACAGGAUUAGAUACCCUGGUAGUCCACGCAGUAAACGAUGAUAACUCGCUGUCGGCGAUACACAGUCGGUGGCUAAGCGAAAGCGAUAAGUUAUCCACCUGGGG
rnacentral:rRNA from 1 species